CGGACGGGUGAGUAAUGCUUAGGAAUCUGCCUAUUAGUGGGGGACAACAUUCCGAAAGGAAUGCUAAUACCGCAUACGCCCUACGGGGGAAAGCAGGGGAUCUUCGGACCUUGCGCUAAUAGAUGAGCCUAAGUCAGAUUAGCUAGUUGGUGGGGUAAAGGCCUACCAAGGCGACGAUCUGUAGCGGGUCUGAGAGGAUGAUCCGCCACACUGGGACUGAGACACGGCCCAGACUCCUACGGGAGGCAGCAGUGGGGAAUAUUGGACAAUGGGCGCAAGCCUGAUCCAGCCAUGCCGCGUGUGUGAAGAAGGCCUUUUGGUUGUAAAGCACUUUAAGCGAGGAGGAGGCUACUUGGAUUAAUACUCUAGGAUAGUGGACGUUACUCGCAGAAUAAGCACCGGCUAACUCUGUGCCAGCAGCCGCGGUAAUACAGAGGGUGCGAGCGUUAAUCGGAUUUACUGGGCGUAAAGCGUGCGUAGGCGGCUUUUUAAGUCGGAUGUGAAAUCCCUGAGCUUAACUUAGGAAUUGCAUUCGAUACUGGGAAGCUAGAGUAUGGGAGAGGAUGGUAGAAUUCCAGGUGUAGCGGUGAAAUGCGUAGAGAUCUGGAGGAAUACCGAUGGCGAAGGCAGCCAUCUGGCCUAAUACUGACGCUGAGGUACGAAAGCAUG
rnacentral:rRNA from 1 species